rnacentral:rRNA from 1 species
GACGAACGCUGGCGGCGUGCUUAACACAUGCAAGUCGAACGGAAAGGCCCUGCUUUUGUGGGGUGCUCGAGUGGCGAACGGGUGAGUAACACGUAAGUAACCUGCCCUUGACUUUGGGAUAACUUCAGGAAACAUGGGCUCAUACCGGAUAGGAGCUCCUGCUGCAUGGUGGGGGUUGGUCAGUUUGGGGGGUUGGGGAUGGACUGGCGGCUUAUCAGCUUGGUGGUGGGGUAGGGGCUUACCAAGGCUUUGACGGGUAGCCGGCCUGAGAGGGUGACCGGCCACAUUGGGACUGAGAUACGGCCCAGACUCCUACGGGAGGGAGCAGAGGGGAAUAGUACACAACGGGCGGAGCCAAGAUGCAGCACCGCCGCGUGCGGGAAGACGGCCUUCGGGUUGGAAACCGCUUUCGCCUGUGACGAAGCGUGAGUGACGGUAAUGGGUAAAGAAGCACCGGCUAACUACGUG